UCGUGGCUCCGGUAGUUAAGUGGUAGAGCGUCUAUUUAGUUUUCAGCAUGGUCGCAGGUUCGAAUCCUGCCUGAGGCGUUAUUACUAU